rnacentral:rRNA from 1 species
UACGUAGGGGGCUAGCGUUGUCCGGAAUCAUUGGGCGUAAAGCGCGCGUAGGCGGCCAGAUAAGUCCGGUGUGAAAGUCACAGGCUCAACCUGUGAAUGCCGCUGGAAACUGUCUGGCUCGAGUCCGGGAGGGGCGAGUGGAAUUCCUGGUGUAGUGGUGGAAUGCGUAGAGAUCCGGAGGAACACCAGCGGCGAAGGCGGCGUCCUGGACUGGACCUGACGCUCAGGAGCGAAAGCGUGGGGAGCGAGCCGGA